UACGAAGGGGGCUAGCGUUGCUCGGAAUUACUGGGCGUAAAGGGCGCGUAGGCGGCUCUGUUAGUCAGGCGUGAAAGUCCUGGGCUCAACCUGGGAACUGCGCUUGAUACGGCAGAGCUAGAGGAUGGAAGAGGGUCGCGGAAUUCCCAGUGUAGAGGUGAAAUUCGUAGAUAUUGGGAAGAACACCGGUGGCGAAGGCGGCGACCUGGUCCAUUACUGACGCUGAGGCGCGACAGCGUGGGGAGCAAACAGG
rnacentral:rRNA from 1 species